ACUUCAUUGAACAAGCUGUGUGCACUGCAAUACUCAGAUUGGUAUGAGUCACUUCCUAAAACAUGUUACUCCAUUCAUUCUGAGUAGAGCAAGGCACACCAAACACCAGUUUGUUUUG
rnacentral:precursor_RNA from 14 species